rnacentral:lncRNA from 1 species
GGUGGUACCGAAAUCAGUCAAUAGUAAUCAUAGUAGGAAGAGUAUUGUAAAAGGCAGAAGUCAGAGACAAAAUCUUCAAGUUUUACUGAACUGGUCAGAUCUUAAGCUUCUGUUUUUAUUUUUAUUGAACACUCAAUCACAAUUUCUAAAAUGUUUAUCUUUUUUCCAAUUAUUAUACUACUUUCCUUUAUAUUUCUUUAAACAUUAAGAAAUUGACUUUAUGACCAGACUGUAACUAGUAUGUUAUAUGAAAUUUUUAAAUUAUAAAGCAUACCCUAUACUGAAUCCAAGCUUGAAACCAUCAGCCAGAGGUUUAUGCCUACAAAAGAACAGUUUUCAUUGGCUAGAUGAGAAAACAGUUUGAUUGACAGUUUUGGAGGAACGGUUUUUAAAAAAUAUGACUGCCAAAUGUGUGUAUAUUUGAAAUAUUACAUUGAAGGAAUUCAGUGACUCUAGCUGGUGAAUUUCCAGCUGGAGAAGAAUGUUAAGUGAAAUAGUCAAAAAAUAGUUAUAAGUAAAAUCCAUCACAAACCCAUCAUUUCACAUUGGGCCAUUAAUCUUCAGCAAGAGGCCAACUGUGAAUCACAUGAAUAUUUGGAUGUGAGAAGGCAUCAUCUAUAACACCCAGUGUUAAUAGAAAACCGUCAGGCCCAUGCUCAAUUGCCCACUGGUGAUGCCCAUUGAUCUGUUCUCAUGGCAAGACAAAGACUUAUGAAUUCUGGGCACCGCUUUGAAGCAGGUCUCUAUGUGCUGCCCCUCAGACACCUUCAAGAAAUUCAUCAAAUGCUAGCUAUUUUUAGUUUCAGAUGGUUUAGUCCUUUCCAAAUUGGAUACUGGGGAAGGGAUAUAUAAGAUUAACGAGGGACCUCAGUUGAUACUGAAGCGCUGAAAACUGAACAGCAGAACAGAGAUGUAUUUACUUUGGACUCUAUCUCAUGUCCAAUCCCUAAAGUGAGAAAUACAAACCAAAUAUAGUGAGAUCUAUUAGUAGUUAAUUAACACUGACCAGCAGAAUUCAACAUCUUCUUUGUGAGGCAUAUCAACUUAAAGCAUGGGGAAUGGCAUAUACUGUGAAAUUUCCAGAAUUAAUCUUCAGUCCAUACAUGGCAAUGAUUAAUUUCGUUUAAAGCAAACAUUUUCAUUGGCUAUUUUUAGAAAAAGAAAUUUAAUGUGAAAGGAACGGAGGACCAUUUUACAAUGUCUACACGCCAAGGGAACCAAACCAAACUCAUCCCAUUAAAGAAAAGCAUAAGAGGUUUGCGGAAAAGGAAGUUUGAGGAUCACUGCAAAUAUGUGUAAAUGAGUGGGGACAGGCACAGAGAGGCUUACAAAGUUUGGAACAAGUGGCCCACCACUCAUUAUUUCCAUCUGCAGAACCCCAAGAAUAAAAUCACCCAUUGUCCUAACGAAAUCUUACUAAAACUGACAUAGUAAAUAAAAUGAUCAUCAUGAAUAGCUUUUCUCCAGUUGUGUGUGAGGCGAUGUGCACAUGAUCUGAUGACUAUUACGUGAUGCUAAACGUUUGUGGUGACAUCACAAGGUCAGGUUGCUAUGAGAAAGCAUCAUAGACAGAAUGGCUUGAAUGAUGUAGGUUUAUCGCUCACAGUUCUGGAGGGGGUAAGUCUGAGAUGGUGGUGCCAACACCGUCAGGUUCUAGUUAGGACUCUCACCUGCAUUGCAGAUGGCUGACUUGUCAUCAUACCCUCACAUGGUGGAAAGAUGAGUGAGCCAGCUCUCUGGCCUCUUCUAAAGUCACUAAUCCCACUCAUGAGAACUUCACCCUCAUGACCUAACUAUCUCUCAAAGGCCCCCAUUAUAUUGGAGAGGUAAUGGUGGUUCCAACAUAGGGACACAAAUAUUCGCUCUAUAACAUAGCUAUUGGUCCAAGAGAGAAACAGAGACAAAAAUGUACUAGAACCAAAGAGAAAAUCAAAGGGAAAAAUGUGAAUUAGAGCAAAGGCAGUAGAGCAAGAAUGUUGAUAUUUGUUCCUACACACAGAAAAUAAGGAAGAAUUUAGUCAACCAAGAAGAAACUGCUAGAGGAAUGACUUUUGGAGUUUGACCCUGGGUUGAAGGGUAAGGAACGAGAAUUGAUUUUUGCUCUUCCUUUAGAAUUCCUUAGAAUUCAGGAUGAAGAACAACUAGGUCAGUUUUGUUUCUCAUUGAAACUAAGCUUGUAGGUGCAGAGAUAAUAGUGUUAUUUUAAUUUAUCCAUUGCACUGGGAACCCAAUCAGAAAAGGGCCUUUGUUUCUACCAAACACUGGUAGCUAGUGGGACAGAGAAUGAAAUACAUAACAACCACGCAUUCAGACAUCCAGUUUAACCUUAGCAACAGUGCUGUCAACCUAUACACUCACCUACCUGCAUAAGCUUUGAAUACCAGCAAUUUUCCCACCAGUUCUCUCCUAUUCAUAAAAGGCUAAAUACAGGCUCUGAAGACAUUCCUGGGGAGUCAGUGAGAGGAGGUUGAGGGUAGAUAUGGAAAACUACUACUGUGCUGCUUCUCAAAAUUUCCUGUCUUCAUUCUGGAUACAUGGAGUAAUUACACUUCUUUACCUCUUAAGGUUAGAAAUAGCCAUAGGACUUUUUUAAAAAAUAGAGUGUGAGUGCAGGUGAUGUGUAAGUGAUGUGUGCCUCCUCCAGGCAGAGGCACUUAGUUGCCACCAGAGACCCUUCGGAACUUUCUUCCUUGGCUGCUGCCAACGUGGGAGCAUGUGUUGAUGUGGAGAUAAAAAGCUGAGCCAUUACAUGGAGGAGAGGAGGCUGGAGGUGGUGGCACUAGAUGUCCAUUGCACUUUGGACAAGAUUUAAACAUUUAUUUUGAGGCUACUGACAUUUAGAAGUUGUUUAUUGCUGCACCAAAACCAAGCCUAUCGUGACCAAUUCAAGCUCCAACUUUCCCAAAGACUUGGAAUAAACAAAAGAAAUGUCUUAAUUUUUUGGCAUCAACAUUGGUGGACAAUUAUUUUGGCAGGGAACUUUAUAUUAUAUUAGAAUAAAGCAUUUUGCAAUUUUAUCACCAAAGUUUACAAUUUUUAUUAGUUUACUGUUUUAGUAAAGCAUAGCCCACAGUGCAACUAUUUACUGAAGACUGCAUGUCCAAUAAAGAUUUAAAGUAGGAUUGUGGAAUCUGAAAAAAGGACAGACUGAACUUCUUUGCAGAACAGAUGCUGACUCACAGACAUUGAAAAACUUAUGGUCUCCGGAGGAGACAGUUUGGGGGGUGGGGGGAUGUGCUUGGGCUGUGGGAUGGAAAUCCUGUGAAACUGGAUUGUUAUGAUCAUUGUACAACUACAGAUGUGAUAAAUUCAUGUGAGUAAUAAAAAAAAAAAGAAAAAAAAAGUAAGAUUGUAUCUUCAUCUUCUGCCUUGAUUUCUUUCUAAAUACUUUUGCUAUAGAUCUGGAGUUAAGAGGAUAAAUGGGCAAAAUAGUAAAUAUUUUCAGCUUUGUGCAUCAUAUGAUCUUUACUGCAACUUUUUAAUUCUGCUGUUGUAGCAAGAAAGCUUCCAUAGAUAAUACAUAAACAAAUAAGCAUGUCUAGUUACAAAAAUAAGCAGCAGGCUGAUCUUGGCCUUUGGGCCAUAGUUUUCUAAAUCUUGCUUUAGAUAAUAUUUCCAGUCUAAGUCACAUCCAUACAAUUUCAUAUUAUCAACUGUCAUUAUAGCAUCUUUGGGGACUAUAUUAAUUAAAUCAGCAUUCCAUCUGACAACUUAUCUGAUGCUCUUCACAAUCAUGAAAUAAAAUACAUACCCUAUUUAUGCUUUGGGCUCAAUAUCCUUUUUUAAAAAAUGGUCUCUUACAAUACUAGUUCUGUAGGGAUAGAUACAUAAAAAAGGAUAAACUAAAAUAAAUAUAUGUCUUUGUAGGCAAUUCAAAAUCCUGUUUUUCCCUGAUGUUACAGUUUAAAUGGACUUUUAAAAAUGGAAACAUAUUUAUUUUUGGUUCCCCAACAAAUACCAAGAAAUAAAAAUCUUAGCGAGAUAAAGGAAAGAAAGAGAUGAUAGUACUGCAGGACAGAAAAGGCUCGUGAAAUUGUUUUCAGAAAAUGAAAUCAUGAUUGACAUGAUCUAACAUCUCUCCACCAGGAGAAUGCUAGCCCAUGCCAAAUUAAGUCUCUUUUACUAGUUCAAAAUGAAAUAUCACUAAAAUGCUGCAUAUACAGGAGACUGUUAGAAAAAAAGGAGAAAGAAAGAAAAUAUGCAUAUAUACUGAAUCUCCUGGAAGGAAAAUGAAACAAUUUUACUCAUUUUAAUUUGUCUCAAAUUAAUUUCUUUUAAUGCAACAUAUUUUGAAUUACUGGGGCAAAGAAGCCAACAAGGAAGUCAGCUAUGGCAAAGUGAUUCAAACAAAGAGUAAUAUAAAUAAAUGAGUUAUGCUAAGACCCAAGGCUAUUUUUGUUUCCUGUUUCAGAUAGCAUGUGUUGGGGUGGGGAAGAUGUAUGUAUCAUACAAUAGUGCGGUGUCUCAGUGAGCACAUCUAGAACACGAAUUAAAAUCAAUUUUAUUGGCUUAUAAAAGAUGUAUGUAUGAACUUUGUCUUUUAAUGGACUUGGUUAGUUUGUUGCUGUAGUAUACUCCUGAAAAUACUGGCUGGUUGGUUUCAAAAGAAGUGGGAAAAGUUCUCUUGACUGCUUCAUUGCUCACCUGGGAUGUAUAACCAAGGACAAGACCUUAUUGAAUGGGAGGAAAAUUGAUUGAUGCCAACUGGAAUGGUUCAGGCAUGAAAUAGAUUGUAACAUGUCCCUGUGUCUCAGCAGAAUGUGGAAGUGUUUCUGCGUUCAAGUGAUUUCCCACCAGAAUGUGAAAGUGUUUCUGUGUUCAAGUGAUUUUGACUACAAUGUAACUGCCAGGUCAUUGGCACUGUCGCUGAGACACAGGACAGGACCGAACACUGAAAGUGGAGAGGCUAAGAGCGUACACAGAGACACACUCUGGAUCAGAGCUGACUCUGCCACUACGGACUCUGUGAGGUUGUGCAAAUCAUUUAAUCACUCCAAGUUUUGGCUUUCUCAACUUUUAGGCUGAGCUAUAUGAAACUGCCAAUAUUUAACUGUUUUUAAUCUACAAAAUUGACAAUUUCAUGAUUCAUCAUCUGUGGCUUCAUCAUUCUUUGGCUGUGAUUAAAUGUAAUCUUCCUAUAAACUUAUAGGGAAAGUAUAAGUGCAUUUGUAGUAUUUUUUACUUACUCUAAGUUAAAGUAUUUACUGGAAGGUAUUAUUUGUAAUAGUUAAAAUUCAUUACUUUAGUUCAUUGAUUUAUAUAGACAAAUUAGUAAUUGAUAACAUUUGCCAUUAAAGAAAUAUAAAUUGCAUUAUAGAAUAAUUUAUUUGGUUUUAUGUAUAUACUCUGUGGUCCUGGGAGCCUAAAGUUUACUUCAUCAAUGAUAGACUAUUUGCCAGUAGUCAUGCCAUCAGGCUGGACAUGUUCUAACAAUAUGCUUUGUUGAUAUAU